GCAGCAGGCGCGAAACCUUUACACUGCACGCCAGUGCGAUAAGGGGAUCCCAAGUGCGUAGGCAUAGAGCCUACGCUUUUGUCCACCCUAGGGUGGUGGACGAAUAAGGGCUGGGCAAGGCCGGUGCCAGCCGCCGCGGUAAUACCGGCAGCCCGAGUGAUGGCCGAUCUUAUUGGGCCUAAAGCGUCCGUAGCUGGCCGCACAAGUCCAUCGGGAAAUCCACCUGCUCAACAGGUGGGCGUCCGGUGGAAACUGUGUGGCUUGGGACCGGAAGGCGCGACGGGUACGUCCGGGGUAGGAGUGAAAUCCCGUAAUCCUGGACGGACCGCCGAUGGCGAAAGCACGUCGCGAAAACGGAUCCGACAGUGAGGGACGAAAGCUAGGGUCUCGAACCGGAUUAGAUACCCGGGUAGUCCUAGCCGUAAACACUGCCUGCUAGGUGUGGCACCCACUACGAGUGGGUGCUGUGCCGUAGGGAAGCCGCUAAGCAGGCCGCCUGGGAAGUACGUCCGCAAGGAUGAAACUUAAAGGAAUUGGCGGGGGAGCACUACAACCGGAGGAGCCUGCGGUUUAAUUGUAUUCAACGCCGG
rnacentral:rRNA from 1 species